GGCAUUUGUUGAUACCUUCAUUCAAGAUUCAUCCUUCAUUCCAGAUCCAUCAUCACUUGCAGAGCAGCUUGUGGAUACUUUUUCAGAAUGUAUUUCGAGCAAGAGAUCAUCUCUUGUGCCUGCUGGCUUCUGCAUGAAGCUUUGGCAUUGACAGACUAGAUAACAUAGUUUGCUCCAUGAACCUGUUGUGGGUUCGUGUGGCAAUAAUUCUUUAGACCCCAUUAACAUUCAUCAUUCAGACUAUCAU
rnacentral:misc_RNA from 1 species